rnacentral:rRNA from 1 species
GAUGAACGCUGGCGGCGUGCCUAAUACAUGCAAGUCGAGCGAACGGACGAGAAGCUUGCUUCUCUGAUGUUAGCGGCGGACGGGUGAGUAACACGUGGAUAACCUACCUAUAAGACUGGGAUAACUUCGGGAAACCGUAGCUAAUACCGGAUAAUAUUUUGAACCGCAUGGUUCAAAAGUGAAAGACGGUCUUGCUGUCACUUAUAGAUGGAUCCGCGCUGCAUUAGCUAGUUGGUAAGGUAACGGCUUACCAAGGCAACGAUGCAUAGCCGACAUGAGAGGGUGAUCGGCCACACUGGAACUGAGACACGGUCCAGACUCCUACGGGAAGCAGCAGUAGGGAAUCUUCCGCAAUGGGCGAAAGCCUGACGGAGCAACGCCGCGUGAGUGAUGAAGGUCUUCGGAUCGUAAAACUCUGUUAUUAGGGAAGAACAUAUGUGUAAGUAACUGUGCACAUCUUGACGGUACCUAAUCAGAAAGCCACGGCUAACUACGUG